UAGCUUCUUUCCUUCGCCCCCGAGCAGCCGUGCCGCCGGAGCUUGCGAACCCCGCCCCUCAACUCCUCUGUGUCCGAUGCGAUGCCGGAGCAUCCAUCGUAUCCGGGCGAGCUUACCAUCGAGAAGUAGCCGCCGCGCCGUCCUCCUGCUUUGACUUCUCCCAUCCUUCCCUGCUCCUCUCCCACCUUUCUCUGCCUUGCCUCCACAGGGACACUGGGACACCAGCGGCAUGCGAUACGAUGCCGCCCCAACUGGAUCCACGCCCUCCUCCAUUGCCUGCUCUCGAGCCAUCAAUCCUUGCCUCGAAUCGGUAUUGCUGGCAGCCAUCGUUUCCAGAUCCUAGCUUGGCCGCCGCUGAAAGAUCCAGCACCAUUGUGCCUCUCACCGUCGAUGGCGGUAGUAAUGAUGCAACCAUGCAUGUGGCAGCACCCAUGUGGUGCGAGCGGAGCGACCGCCUUGCGGAACGCCUGCAGGGCUCCCUGCCUCGAGCAGCAUGCAUGGGUGGCGGCUUAGACGUCAAAGGAGCUUCAGCACAAGGCGGUGAUCCAAUAGUACUCCUUCCAAUACAACAUUAUUUGAUCCAAUGCAAAGUGGACCUUUCUUUCCCUUGCCUAGCUCCAAUCUUUGAUCCAUCCAUGUUUUAGGUAAUGUGUACAGAGAACGAGGAUACCAAGCCAAAUUUGUUGAAUGAGGAUUUCAAGUUUGAGUUCUGAAGACCAUUAGAUAAUUGAACUGGUGGUGAGUUCAAUGUGAUCAAAAAUUGUUGGUCAAACAUGAAAGGAUGCACACUCGUUUUUGAAGACUGAAAAGAAAGUUUCAUGAAGCAACCUCGAGGUGCUGCCAUGGCAACAUCCAUGAGACUAUAAGGAUCUCAAGGGAAAGAGUUGUGAUGGGCCGAUGGCGCAUCUAUUCACACCAUGGACAUUCAUCGCCUGCUACUCAUGCACCCACUCUAAAGUCAAGCAAAAGAUCCUAUUCUUAAAGGUUGUUGUUGACGCCCAAAAAGCUCCUCGGUAGACAUGUUCCUCUCCAGCACAUCACUUGGUGGAUCUAGAGGGGCAACCAUCAGCUUAUAAAGGACAAUGGAUGAUCAAGUAGCACCCAAGAUGGCAAGGUGGUUGAGAUAUACGAACUGUUGUAUCUUGAGGAUUCAUGAUGCAGUUGUAUGUCAAUACAUGUAGAUUUAUGACUAUUGCCAUAGCAUCCAGUGUAUCUAUCUAUCUAUCUAUCUAUGUCUUCUUAACAUCGACAUAUUUACCUUGACUAAUUAUUGUUUAAUACAGGUUCUUUCUCUGUUA